rnacentral:rRNA from 1 species
AGUGAACGCUGGCGGUAGGCCUAACACAUGCAAGUCGAACGGCAGCACAGUAAGAGCUUGCUCUUACGGGUGGCGAGUGGCGGACGGGUGAGGAAUACAUCGGAAUCUACUUUUUCGUGGGGGAUAACGUAGGGAAACUUACGCUAAUACCGCAUACGACCUACGGGUGAAAGCAGGGGAUCUUCGGACCUUGCGCGAUUGAAUGAGCCGAUGUCGGAUUAGCUAGUUGGCGGGGUAAAGGCCCACCAAGGCGACGAUCCGUAGCUGGUCUGAGAGGAUGAUCAGCCACACUGGAACUGAGACACGGUCCAGACUCCUACGGGAGGCAGCAGUGGGGAAUAUUGGACAAUGGGCGCAAGCCUGAUCCAGCCAUACCGCGUGGGUGAGGAAGGCCUUCGGGUUUUAAAGCCCUUUUGUUGGGAAAGAAAAGCAGCAGGUUAAUACCCCGCUGUUCUGACGGUACCCAAAGAAUAAGCACCGGCUAACUUCGUG